UAUAAAUUUAAAAUUUUUUUUUGUGGAUUAAAUUGUUUUAAUGGAAGAAGAAAGAAGAAAAAUCUACAAUGCUAGAAGAAGGGGAAAAUAUCGUAAAAGUGGAAAACGUAAAAGAUACGUUUUCACAGCGACAAUUUCCAACGAUUCUAGUGAAAUAAAAAAAAAGGGUUGAAAAAAAAAUGCCACUGGGAAAAAUGAAAAAUAAUAUUAAGGACAAAGGAAGCUUGAAUGUUACAUGGCAAGUGAAGUCCUACUGGAAAAUAUGGUGACAGGCAAUCAAAGCAAUUUCUACACUUCAAAAGGAGCAGAUCCAAUACCAAACCAACAUUACAUUUAUUUACUUAAAUUAGUUUUUUAGUAACUGCCUUCUCCACUGAAGUUUCGAAUACUUUCAUUCAGGACUUGGUGGCUUAAUACAAGAAUUCCACGAAGCAGAAAUCCUUGGAUAUAUGGUAGAAGAAAACAGCAGACCAGAGGGGGUUAGUUGCCUAUCUGAAUGGAAACAAGGAAAGGCAUUUGAAAAAACACAACAAAAAACAACAACAAAAGGCACUAUAGCUCCCACAUUGUGGGACCCACAAGUACCGAAUGUCCUGAUUUCGAUUGCUGCACUAUUUGCUGUAGCUCUGUAAGCAACUAUGCUGUUUGUUGUAGCACAUGCAAAAGGAAAUUGUGUGUUUCAUGUCACAAAAAAUUUCAUUUAUCACGUCCUUUCAUCAACGCACAUUUUACAUAAAGGAUACAGUUUCAUCCAGUAAGCCGUUGCCUACCAACUUUGUUGACUGUGACACCCGUGAAAUUACUGUUCAAAGAAUACCAGUGGCAUGUCAGGUCACUUCCUCCUGCCCGUUAUGUUGUAAGUCCGGGACGUUACUUCUGAAUGCGAGCGGCAAAGACAAGUAUGUCGUAACUUUGCAGGGUCAAAAGUCAUGCCCAACUGUAACGCCUUUGACAAUAUUGGAUUCGUCAAAAUGACAAACAUACAGUUUGGAUGUUUUUUUAAGUCCAGGAAUAACUGAUUGCCACUUUACGCACUUAUUCUCAACUU